UCUGGGACGAAAUCUGUUAGUAGGGAAUAUGUUUAGUCUCUUUGUGUCUUUGCUCCCUCUGUGGACAAAGACGAUGCACGUCUGGUAAAGGUCGCUACGGCAAUACAGAUAUAUAACAUCCAAAAAUAUAUUAUAAAUGCUAUCGGUAUAAUUUAUUAUGCUGAACUUUGUUAACUGUUAACAAAUGGAAAAGAUCUGCUUAAAAAGAAAACCCCUGCAUACAGGGCCAUAUGCAGGCAGGCACAACUCUGCCCUACAGCCUAUGUAAGGGCUAUAGCCGGCAUCAUAACAGCGCUAUAACCAUCAGUUAGUUGCCAUAACAAGGCUGUAUGCCUUGCGGCCUGUUAUGACUUAACAGACUAUAUAACAGGGCAUAACAGGUUAUAUGAUAACCCAUAGCAGGCUAUGUAACAGGGCUAUAGUCUUGUUAUAUAACCUGUUACGAUGACUAAUAGGGCUGUAUCCCUCAGUCGCCAUAACAGGGCUACAGUCCGCGCUAUAACAAUCAGUCGCUAUAACACAACUAUAGCCGGCACCAUAACGAAGACUGUUCUGGCAGGGGGAAGGGGCUCCCAGCCACUGUGCAGCCGAGGGCCCUUUCCUCCGCCCCCACCCUCCUACCCAGCUCUUUGCGGGAGCACAAAACACCUCUCACAUAUGAUUGCACGAGCUUUUCUUUUUUUACAGAAGAUGUUUUCCAUUUAUUACUGAGAAAUGAGAUUGAAUAUAAUGGAUUAUAGUGAUAGCAUAU
rnacentral:lncRNA from 1 species